rnacentral:lncRNA from 1 species
GUGUGUGUGUGUGUGUGUGUGUGUGUGUGUGUGUGUUUAGUGUUCAUGUAUGUAUGUAUUAUAUUGUGGUAUAUAUGUAUGUGUAUGUGUAUAUUUGUAUGUUGGAGCGUGUUGACACAUUAUACGAUGGACAAUUCCUGGAAAUGUUUAGCCUGCUGCAAUUUAAAGUUUGUUCUUAUUGGAAAUCCACAGGAUAUCAAGCUCAGUCAAAGUGCUUUGCUGACAGGCUCUGUGGCUUCACAGCUGAGUUCUCCUGGUUUACAUUCCACACUUGGACCUCUGCAACUAUUUCCGACUUAGAGCUGUGUGGCAGAGUUCUUCUCUUUUCCACUCAUGAACAUCCAGAGUUUGGAGAGAGUUGUUUAUGCAGCCUCAAUGGCAGACACUUUGAGAGUGAUUUAAAAAGGGAAAGGGUUAGGGGG